rnacentral:rRNA from 1 species
AGUGAACGCUGGCGGUAGGCCUAACACAUGCAAGUCGAACGGCAGCACAGUAAGAGCUUGCUCUUACGGGUGGCGAGUGGCGGACGGGUGAGGAAUACAUCGGAAUCUACUUUUUCGUGGGGGAUAACGUAGGGAAACUUACGCUAAUACCGCAUACGACCUACGGUUGAAAGCAGGGGAUCUUCGGACCUUGCGCGAUUGAAUGAGCCGAUGUCGGAUUAGCUAGUUGGCGGGGUAAAGGCCCACCAAGGCGACGAUCCGAAGCUGGUCUGAGAGGAUGAUAAGCCACACUGGAACUGAGACACGGUCCAGACUCCUACGGGAGGCAGCAGUGGGGAAUAUUGGACAGUGGGGGCAAGCCUGAUCCAGCCAUACCGAGUGGGUGAAGAAGGCCUUCGGGUUGUAAAGCCCUUUUGUCGGGAAAGAAAAGCAGCAGGUUAAUACCCAGCUGUUCUGACGGUACCCAAAGAAUAAGCACCGGCUAACUUCGUG